UUUUCCCAGUCCUGGUAUUGUGGUUAUUGGGAAACCAGGCCACCUGGAGCGGUUUGGGAGGGUCUUUUUGGAGAAGUACACCAGGGCUAUGCUUGAUGAGUGAACUUGAGUGGGGAAGGGUCAGGUGUAUGGCAUAGGCAGAGGGCAGCCAGGGUGUCUGUGGUGAGGAUGCUGAGGGAGGAGGUGAGCAGUGAAUCUAAGAGAUGGACAGAGGCUGGAUUAGUGUCUCAAAUGUGUUCCUGGUACCUCUGCUGGAUGCAAUGCCUUGGCCUCCUGCUUCUAAUUUCGAGCCCAUCUGGGCCACUCUUCCCCUUUGUCUGAUGGGCUGACAACAUUACUUUUCUACUGAAAUCUGAAGACUCACAGAUGAACAGGAUGCACAGUAAACUGUGUCCACCUUUGCACACCAAGAGAUCCCUCAGUUUGCUCUCCCGCAGCUUGGUGUUGCUGCCCUCCCUCUGUCCCUGGGUUCUUGGAAGCCAGCUCUGCUCCAGCCUACUCCAUCUAGUUCUUCCUAUCCGGCCUUCCAGAAAAUGCUUUUAAGUCUUGUUUCCAGUGUACUGUACCUUCAUUUUUCCAUGAAUGAAUGGUGCUCCGUAGAGACGCACAAGUUGCAUUUACACGUGAGAGGUGUGUCCAUCAAAGAUGGGUGCUUGGCUUCCACCAAAACUUCUGUGUAAAAAGGGCUUUCUGUAGUCUAGCAGUCAGGCUGACUGACAAAUGUCACAGCUAGCUAGUGAGAGUCCAGCUCUGUAGGAUAAUUCAAUAAGUCAAAGCCAAGCACACACAAAAAAGAUGUCCAGAAACUGAUGGAGCAAGCCUGAGUGAGAUAAAACAUCCUGAAUAUGUAUCUCCCAUCCAUUUUAGGUUGUACUGUGGAGCAAGGUUGAAGUGGCCAACUGUGGACACUGGCAUUUUAAAAUGUGACUCCCCUGAGAUCAGAGCAGGGAGACUGGGAGUUGUCACUCCUGGGUUUGAUUUUUGACCAUGUUAGUGUACCUUUGCUUUAGGACCUUGGGGUUUUCCUGUCUUUGCUUGGGGUGAUGGGGUCAUCGCAAAAAAAAAAGUAAGGUAUGUGUGGUGAUCUUUUACUCAGAGGGAGCUCGUAGACAGAAACACACAGAAAAGGCUUUGAAAGGCCUUAGAAAGUGUGCUGGUGGUCCAGUGUUUUAUUUCCCAAGGAUUCUGGAAUAUCAGAAAUGUGGAAAUUUCUGUGUGUCAGCCUCCCUGAGCUGUUCUUUGGAGGGGCCAUCUUGAAGGUGGCUUUUAGUUCUCCCCGUAGAGAUAGGGGACAGGCCUGAAGAAUCCCUGCCCCCUACUGCAUAAUAAAUCUGAUACUAAAAUUAGUGUAGGCCUCCUACCGUCAUUCUUGCUGAGAUGCUAAAGGUGUGUGUGUGUGUGUGUGUGUGUGUUUGUCUUGUCUCUCAGGAUUGUGGGACAUUGCUUUGUGUCAGAUAAUUGUCCAGGUCUGAACGAUCGAUUUUGUAUGACAGACUUUACCAGUCACCCUGCUUCCCCCGUCUCCUGUCAUGGAAGGGUAGGAGUAGAGAGAGGGUGGAUAGAGGGCAAAUAUUGUAGCAUAGCUUUUGGGUGUGUGAGUCUCUGCCACGUAGGUAGAUAUUCCUUGAGAAUCUUGGAAGGCUUUAUAAUUGAGUCUCAUACCUUGGUGAUGAGACAUUAGUCACUUUCUCUGAAGCAGGGGUGGGGAACCUUUUUUCUGCCAGAGAUCAGUUGGAUAUUUUUCACAUCAUUCUUGGGCUGUACAAAAUUACCAGUACAGGUAGAAGGCUGAGGGCAGCCAAUGAACAGUAUAUGUGUCUGUCCUGUCAUGUACUGAAUGACUUCAUGGCCUUGAUGUUUCCCACUCUCGCUAAAGCAUCUACGUUAGGUUGUGUGGUGGGGAAGACUUUGCUCUUAGAGAUAUCUGUAGAAGGCAUGCAGCAUACAGGGCAGUUGGAUGUCCAGCUA